rnacentral:rRNA from 1 species
AGAUAAUAGAUACCCUGGUAGUCCCAGCUGUAAACGAUGCAGACUCGGUGAUGAAAUUGGCUUAUUGCUAAAUUCAGUGCCGCAGGGAAGCCGUUAAGUUUGCCGCCUGGGGAGUACGGUCGCAAGACUGAAACUUAAAGGAAUUGGCGGGGAGCACCACAAGGGGUGAAGCCUGCGGUUCAAUUGGAGUCAACGCCGGAAAUCUUACCGGGGGCGACAGCAGAGUGAAGGUCAAGCUGAAGACUUUACCAGACAAGCUGAGAGGAGGUGCAUGGCCGUCGCCAGCUCGUGCCGUGAGGUGUCCUGUUAAGUCAGGUAACGAGCGAGAUCCCUGCCUCUAGUUGCUACCAUUAUCUCAGGAUAGUGGAGCUAAUUAGAGGGACCGCCGUCGCUGAGACGGAGGAAGUGGGGGGC